rnacentral:RNase_P_RNA from 1 species
CGACCUAGACAAUUGCUGCCGCAAGGUAGAGGAAAGUCCAUGCUCGCACAGGCUGCGAUGCCUGUAGUGAUUGCGCCAGUCCAAUAAAUAAGGCUGGGUACGUAGGAGUACGUAACGGCGGAGUAAGACCUAAAGGAAACCAUGGUGGAGCUCCUGAAAGUGCCACAGUGACGAAGCUUUAUGGAAACAUAAAGGUGGAACGCGGUAAACCCCACAAGCGAGAAAUCCAAAUUUGGUAGGAGAGAUUGGGAAGGGAAACGAACUAGUCCCAAUAAGCUUUGCUUAGAUAAAUAAUUGUCCUCGACAAAACAUGGCUUACAGGG